rnacentral:rRNA from 1 species
UACAGAGACUGCAAGCGUUAUUCGGAUUCACUGGGCGUAAAGGGUGCGCAGGCGGUUGGGUGUGUCAGAUGUGAAAUCCCGAGGCUUAACCUCGGAACUGCGUCUGAAACUACUCGACUAGAGUACUGGAGAGGGAAACGGAAUUCACGGUGUAGCAGUGAAAUGCGUAGAUAUCGUGAGGAACACCAGAGGCGAAGGCGGUUUCCUGGACAGUUACUGACGCUCAGGCACGAAGCCAGGGGAGCGAACGGG